UUCAUACUCCCUCCGUCCGGAAAUACUAGUCAGAGAAAUGCAUAAAAAUGAAUGUAUCUAGAACUAAAAUACAUCUAGUUACAUUCAUUCCUCCGACGAGUAUUUCCGGACGGAGGGAGUACAAU
rfam:Triticum aestivum genome assembly, contig: Triticum_aestivum_CS42_TGACv1_scaffold_129448_2BL